UACAGAGGGUGUGAGCGUUAAUCGGAAUUAUUGGGCGUAAAGCGCGCGCAGGUGGUUUCUUAAGUCUGAUGUGAAAGCCCACGGCUCAACCGUGGAGGGUCAUUGGAAACUGGGGAACUUGAGUGCAGGAGAGAAGAGUGGAAUUCCACGUGUAGCGGUGAAAUGCGUAGAGAUGUGGAGGAACACCAGUGGCGAAGGCGACUCUUUGGCCUGUAACUGACACUGAGGCGCGAAAGCGUGGGGAGCAAACAGG
rnacentral:rRNA from 1 species